UACGUAGGGUGCAAGCGUUGUCCGGAUUUAUUGGGCGUAAAGAGCGUGUAGGCGGCUAGGUAGGUCCGUUGUGAAAACUCGAGGCUCAACCUCGAGACGUCGAUGGAAACCAUCUAGCUAGAGUCCGGAAGAGGAGAGUGGAAUUCCUGGUGUAGCGGUGAAAUGCGCAGAUAUCAGGAAGAACACCCGUGGCGAAGGCGGCUCGCUGGUACGUGACUGACGCUGAGACGCGAAAGCGUGGGGAGCGAACAGG
rnacentral:rRNA from 1 species